UACUUAGUGGCAGACGGGUGAGUAACAUGUGGGUAUAUGCCCUUUGGCCUGGAAUAGCACGAGGAAACUUGUGCUAGUACCGGAUAAGUGGUACCGGAGAAAGCUUUAUGCACCAUUGGAUGAGCCCGCACUUGAUUAGUUUGUUGGGGGGGUAAUGGCCUACCAAGACUUUGAUCAAUACCUGAUUUGAGAGGAUGAU
rnacentral:rRNA from 1 species